rnacentral:tRNA from 1 species
GGCGCCGUGGGAGAGCGGCCAUCCACCAGCCUGCAAAGCUGCUCACACGGGUUCGAGUCCCGUCGGCGCCU